rnacentral:lncRNA from 1 species
CGUGGGUUCAAUCCCUGGUACCAAAAAAGAAAAAAAACCCACAAAAAUCUUUGUACUAAAUGAGGAUGGGGACAGUUCAUAGACCUCGAGCCAGCCUUCAACUUCUCUGAUUAUUUCAAGCGCCUCAUUACCAGUUGGCCAAUCAUCUGGCUUUAGCUUGUUUUCCUCCUAAUGGUUUGAUGUGUACCUCUUGAUUUCUUCUUGUCUCCUGAUGAACCGAUCCUGGUAAGUAUGUUCCAGGAGAUGCUGGCUUUGCUGAAUCUCAUUCCUACACACAUCAUCUCAUCGUCAUCAUCAUCAUCAUCAUCAUUAUCAUUGUUCUCAUCAUCAUGCUCAAGGCUUUUGAUCAGUCUAGUCCUAGUUUCGCAGCCAUUUCAGUCACAAAGACUCGCAUAAUAGGAGUCUUGUUUAGAGGUUCACCACGUGCAGAUGUGCAGGUUGUUCACUGGACAAGAGUGGCAGGUUGGGAGAGCUAGUCACUGGAGUAGAAAUCUAGCUCAUGCUUUCCUCUUCGUCCUAGGUACCAGGGCCCACGGCUGGUUCUUCUUAGAAGAAUGGAUGUCUUUCUCUAACUCACCCAAAUACAGUGUGUGGGACACUGGCAGUCCUGCCUUAUUAGCAGUGGCACAGCAGAAUUAGAAGCCUGAUUUAUCUGAGGAUCAAACACCAGGGGGUCCUGCUCUGGUUUUGUAUCACUGGUUACCUCAUGUCUUCUUUCUCCUCAGUGAACAAAACUGUAAUAUUCCUGGGGCAGCAUUGGCUUAGAAGGAUGAGCACUUUCCCUGUGGAUCAGAGGAGCAUGUCAGGGGACAGCCAGGCAGAAGCUCUGCUGAGGGCUGGGCCUUUCUGGAUGACCAUAGAGGGGGCUGUCUGGGAGUGUACGCCAAGCAACUGGGGGUGCUCGUUCCAUGACCAAGUAGAGGUGAGCCUGGGGAGUUGGCUUCUCAGUCCCUGGGGAAGGAAGCCAUGUGACAGGCUGGGAAUCAACUCCCAGCAUCUAGAGGGGUUUCCUGAUCCAACCCCGUUCCUGCCGUCGUCCAGUUUCAGCAGAAGGUUCAGUGGCUGCAUUUCCCACAUUGUUUUCACAUAAAACACAGCAGAUUGGAGUCUUGGAGGAGGCUUAUUGUGUUUCCUGAGAAGCUAACAGAAGGUUGGUAGCCUUUUUGCUCAAAACUGUAGCAUUUCUCUAUCCUCAAACUCUCUUCGAAGUGUGAAUGAUUUGAAAAUAGCUGAGGGAAAGCAGGUAGAAUUACACUGGCUUCCGUGGGCUGGGCCUUUGUUGUUCUCUCACUCCAGGCAGAACACGUAACCACCUCAGAGGUUCAACUCACCAAUCCCACCAGCAUUUAUGAGCGUGUCUUACACUGGGUACAGUUCCACGCCUGGGAGUACAGAAACACAGCCCUUUCCCCUGGUGGAGCGGAUUUGCUUUAAGGAAAGCAUGUCUUACACUCUACGAACAUUCUGGCAAAAUAAAAAUUUAAAAAUUCAUCUUUUGAAGAAAAGGAAAUGAGUCCCCUAAUCCCACCUCCCUAGCAUAACAUGACUUUCAUUUUUGUGUGUCCCUUUUUUAUCAUCUUUGUUUUUAAAGAUCCCUAAAGAAGUCGUUCUGAUGCUUUAUCUUCAUCACAUCAGUAAGGUUUUGAGGCAAAAAAAAUCUCUUAAGCUGUAAAUGCUUCCCAUUAGCUAAUCCAGAAUCCCUUCCGUGACCAACAUGGCUGUGGGCAAUGGCGCUCCCAGGGCGGCUCUGAUUUCAUCUCCUGCCUUUCUGCUCAUUCCUGGCAGCCUUCCUGGGGUUCUUUGCCCACAGCAGCUGGAUCCUACCUCAGAGCCUGAGAACGUGCUCUCCGGUGUCUGGAAGGCUUCCCCUGAGAGUCACCACUUCAUUCCUGUAUCUGCUCAACUUUAUCUCCUUAGAGACACUUUCUCCGGCAUCUUCUCUUUCUCUCUAUUCCUUCAUCCAAAGCUAAAUAUCUUCAUGGCACCAAUGACCCCCUCCCUUUGAAAUGAGUCACCUGAGGCCUUUGGUCCCCUCACUGCCAUAUCCCCCUCGAGCAGUAGUGGGCCGAUGAGAGGUGCAUCUCCCUGCUGAAUGAUGCUUAUCCUUCAGCCUCAACAGAGGUGGUGAGGACCUGUCUGCUUUCCUCGGGAUAACAUUCUUUCAGAGAUGAGUCAAUCUCUGAUAGGCACAUUAACUUGCAGGGCCUUGGGAUUAAAGGUGUGGGGACUACUCUGCUAUAUGUGGGUGAUUUGAGUCCAGCCUCUUGCUACAAGCAGGCUCCCCUGUUUCUGUUCUGAUGAGCAGCUCCCUGUCAUUCCUGCAGCCUGCAUCUGAGGCCUGCUGGGAAGGGCUGGUUGUACUUGGUUGGCCGAACCCUUCUCUUUCCUGAGAAUCUUAUUCUGUGCUCCCUUUACCUGCUCAGUGUCAGACAGCUGGAUGGCUGAGAUUUUUCCACUGUCUUCCAUCAGCACAAACUGGAAUGGCAGAAUUCUCUUGGUCACCAGCAUGUCCAUUGUUCAUUGACAUCCGCCACAACAUCCCCAUAUGAUGUGGCCAUAUCCCAUCUAUCCUUUACCAGCUUAUGGAGAAAUGUAAAAAGACUUCAUUUAAAAAGGAACAGGAAGUUGGGGCUGGGGUUGUGGCUCAGCGGUAGAGCGCUCAUCUCACGUGUGCGAGGUCCUGGGUUCUAUCCUCAGCACCACAUAAAAAUACAUAGAUAAAAUAAAGAUCAUGUUCAACUACCACUAAAAAAUAAAUUAAAAAAAAAAAGGAACAGGAAGUUGGUG